rnacentral:rRNA from 1 species
CUCAUUAAAUCAGUUGUAGUUUAUUUGAUGGUCUCUUUUGUCUUUCUUUACCUACUUGGAUAACCGUGGUAAUUCUAGAGCUAAUACAUGCGCAAGGUCCCGAGCGCGGGGGGGCGAGGGCUUCACGGCCCUGUCCUCGCAUGCGCAGAGGGAUGUAUUUAUUAGGUUAAACAACCAGCAUCUUUUUCAUUUCUGGUGAUUCAUAGUAACUCUUUCGGAUCGCAUUCAUG